AUGAACGCUGGCGGCGUGCCUAUUACUUCAAAGCCAGGGGAACAAAGGGGGGCUUUGCUCCUUUGAGUUUAGCGGCGGCGGGGGAAGAACCACUUGGAUACCCUCCCUAUAAGACGGGGAUAACUCCGGGAAACGGGAGCUAAUACGGGAAAAUAUAUUAAACGGCAGGGUUCAAUGUUGAAAGCGGGUUUUGUGGUCACUUUAAGAUGGAUCCGCGCCGCAUUAGCUAGUUGGUAAGGUAACGGCUUACCAAGGCGACGAUGCGUAGCCGACCUGAGAGGGUGAUCGGCCACACUGGAACUGAGACACGGUCCAGACUCCUACGGGAGGCAGCAGUAGGGAAUCUUCCGCAAUGGGCGAAAGCUUGACGGAGCAACGCCGCGUGAGUGAUGAAGGUCUUCGGAUCGUAAAACUCUGUUAUUAGGGAAGAACAAAUGUGUAAGUAACUAUGCACGUCUUGACGGUACCUAAUCAGAAAGCCACGGCUAACUACGUG
rnacentral:rRNA from 1 species